UUUUAACUCUCUCUCUCUUCUCUCUUCGUAGAGCUAAGCCUAUACCUCUCUCUCUCUCUCUCUCUCUCUCUCUCUCUAUUGUUCUUUCUCUUUCUCUAUUCUUCUUGUUUGGUCAAAGAAAGUCCUAUUUUUUCUAAAUCAAGAACUGUUUUUUCUUGACAAAAAAUCUUAGACAAGGCUUAAAACCCUGAUUCUUUCAAUCGGCCCUGAAAUUUUCUCAAUUUUUUUGAUAAUAAUCCAAUCUCUCUCUCUUGUUUUUGAUUUAUUUUUGUUGAUCACUCUUUUAGAGAUCGGGAGAAUCUCUGUAAUAAUCUUGUGUUGCAGUACAAUCCUCCCAGUUGAUCUUGAUCUCGUGUGCACUAUGGCUCUUUCCAUUGGCAUUUUUAUCACUGGACAUAGAAAAACAGAUCUUGGUGGUACAGCACUGGUUGGCUUCGAAAAUUAAGAACUGACUGUGCUUGUGCUGAGAAGAUGAACGGAAGUUGCGUCUUUCUAGCAGCUCAGUCUCUGUGUCUCUUUGCAACGCGUGUGAGAUCAGAAACAGGAAGAUACGAGGAUGAGAAGAUCAGAAGCCAUAAAGAAAUCAGAUCAUGGGGGCGCCGCAACGGCCUCUGGCGACGGCGAUCUUAAAAGUAAUCCUAAAUUUUGUAAUUCAAAAUAUAGAAUGGAUUUGGGGAUGGGGAAGAGAUUGGAGAAGCAGCAACCUAAAGCUUGGCAAGGAAGAGCAAACUGUCGUAUAUGCUUACUGGCCACGGUAAAACUGUCGACGGUAAAUCUGUGAGAAAUAGUCGAAAAAGAAGAAAAACAUCAAUGAAAAACCCUAUUGGCCAGUUAAUGGAAGUAGCCGGUAGCAAGUAAAAUAGAAAUGGAUUCCUUUGAUUACAACAAGGUUAAUAUGGACUUUUCAUACAGUUGUUUCUCCUGGUUUGCCAAUUAAUAAAAAAAAUGUCCACUUACCUAA